rnacentral:rRNA from 1 species
GACGAACGCUGGCGGCGCGCUUAACACAUGCAAGUCGAGCGAGAACCAGGCUUCGGCCUGGGGAAAGCGGCGAACGGGUGAGUAACACGUGGGUAACCCACCCUUGGCACUGGGAUAGCCCGAGGAAACUCGGAUUAAUACCGGAUGGCCCAACAGCUCUUCGGAGCGGUUGGAAAAGGUAGCUUCGGCCUCCGGCCAAGGACGGGCCCGCGGCGGAUUAGCUUGUUGGUGGGGUAACGGCCCACCAAGGCGACGAUCCGUAGCUGGUCUGAGAGGACGAUCAGCCACACUGGGACUGAGACACGGCCCAGACUCCUACGGGAGGCAGCAGUGGGGAAUCUUGCGCAAUGGGCGAAAGCCUGACGCAGCGACGCCGCGUGGGGGAAGAAGGCUUUCGGGUUGUAAACCCCUUUCAGGAGGGACGAAGCCACUCGGGUGAAUAGCCCAGAGGGUGACGGUACCUCCAGAAGAAGCCCCGGCUAACUACGUGCCAGCCGCCGCAGUAA